rnacentral:rRNA from 1 species
AUGGUGUCCGGCGAUGGCGGCCGAGUGCCGUCGACGCAAUUCGCGAAGCACGUGGUGGGCGGGCGGUGGUUCAUGUUCUUCGCGUCGAUCCUCAUCAUGGCGGCCGCGGGCGGCACCUACAUCUUCGCCAUCUACUCCAAGGCCAUCAAGUCGUCGCUGGGGUACGACCAGCAGACGCUUAACACGCUCAGCUUCUUCAAGGACGUGGGCGCCAACGUCGGCAUCCUCCCGGGCCUCAUCAACGAGGUCACCCCGCCCUGGGUCGUCCUCGCCUGCGGCGCCGCCAUGAACCUCGUCGGCUACCUCAUGAUCUACCUCUCCAUCACCGGCCGCACCGCGCGCCCGCCCGUCUGGCUCAUGUGCCUCUACAUCGCCGUCGGCGCCAACUCCCAGUCCUUCGCCAACACCGGCGCGCUCGUCACCGCCGUCAAGAACUUCCCCGAGGACCGCGGCGUCGUGCUGGGGCUCCUCAAGGGCUUCGUCGGACUCAGCGGCGCCAUCUUCACGCAGCUCUACCGCGCCAUCUACGGCACCGACAACGACGGCGCCGACCUCGUGCUGCUCAUGGCCUGGCUCCCCGCCGCCAUCUCUCUGGUCUUCAUCCCCACCAUCCGCAUCAUGCCGCGGGACACCCCGGCCGCCGCCAGCAGCACCCGGGAGCGCAAGGCCUUCUUCUACUUCCUCUACGCCUCCAUCGUGCUCGCCGUCUACCUCCUCGUCAUGAACGUGGUGGAGCUGGAGGUGCUCAAGUUCCCCAGGACCGCCUACUACGUCACCGCCACCGUGCUCCUCCUCCUCAUCUUCUUCCCCAUCGUCAUCGUCGUCCAGCAGGAGCUCAGGACCUACCUGCAGCCGCCACUGCCCACCCAGUCCCAGUCCCAGUCUCUCGUCCCGACUACAACGACCACGGCCGUCGUCCACGAGGCCGAGACAGCCACCGUGAUGCCGCCGGCGACGACGUGCUUCCAGGACGUGUUCCGGCCGCCGGCAAGGGGGGAGGACUACACGAUCCUGCAGGCGCUCUUCAGCGUGGACAUGCUGGUGCUGUUCGUGGCCACCAUCUGCGGCGUGGGCGGCACGCUCACGGCGAUCGACAACCUGGGCCAGAUCGGGCAGUCCCUGGGCUACCCGCAGCGCAGCGUGACCACCUUCGUGUCCCUGGUGAGCAUCUGGAACUACGCGGGGCGCGUGGUGGCCGGCUUCGCGUCCGAGUACGUGCUGGCCCGCUACAAGGUGCCCCGCCCGCUCGUCCUCACGGCGGUGCUCCUCCUCGCCUGCGUGGGGCACCUCCUCAUCGCCGUGGGCGUCAACAACGGGCUCUACGCGGCGUCGGUCAUCCUCGGCUUCUGCUUCGGGGCGCAGUGGCCGCUGCUCUUCGCCAUCAUCUCCGAGGUGUUCGGCCUCAAGUACUACUCCACGCUCUACAACUUCGGCGCCGUCGCCAGCCCCGUCGGCUCCUACAUCCUCAACGUGCGCACCGCCGGCCGCCGCUACGACGAGGAGGCGCUCCGGCAGGGCGGGCGGCGGGGCAAGGACCUCACCUGCAUCGGCGUGCGCUGCUUCAGGGAGUCAUUCUACAUCAUCGCCGGCGUCACCCUGCUGGGCGCCCUCGUCUCGCUGCUGCUCGCGUGGAGGACCAGGAACUUCUACAGGGGCGACCUCUACGGCAAGUUCAAGGCCGACCUGGCCAUGGGUCCUGUCCCUGCCGGCGAGGAGCCGCCGGAACAAGCCACCACCAAGGAUGGUAGCACCAGUCCCAGCGACAACGCCGUCGCCACCAAUAAUGGCAGCAAGAUCGGUUCAGCUGAUCACUAA